rnacentral:rRNA from 1 species
UACGUAGGGGGCAAGCGUUGUUCGGAAUGACUGGGCGUAAAGGGUGCGUAGGCGGAGUGUCAAGUCAGCGGUAAAAUUUCGGGGCUCAACCCCGUCGUGCCGUUGAAACUGACACCCUUGAGUGAGUGAGAAGUAAGCGGAAUGCGUGGUGUAGCGGUGAAAUGCAUAGAUAUCACGCAGAACCCCGAUUGCGAAGGCAGCAUACCGGUGCACAACUGACGCUCAGGCACGAAAGCGUGGGUAUCGAACAGG